rnacentral:rRNA from 1 species
AUUGAACGCUGGCGGCAGGCUUAACACAUGCAAGUCGAGCGGGGGAGGUUGCUUCGGUAACUGACCUAGCGGCGGACGGGUGAGUAAUGCUUAGGAAUCUGCCUAUUAGUGGGGGACAACAUUCCGAAAGGAAUGCUAAUACCGCAUACGCCCUACGGGGGAAAGCAGGGGAUCUUCGGACCUUGCGCUAAUAGAUGAGCCUAAGUCGGAUUAGCUAGUUGGUGGGGUAAAGGCCUACCAAGGCGACGAUCUGUAGCGGGUCUGAGAGGAUGAUCCGCCACACUGGGACUGAGACACGGCCCAGACUCCUACGGGAGGCAGCAGUGGGGAAUAUUGGACAAUGGGCGGAAGCCUGAUCCAGCCAUGCCGCGUGUGUGAAGAAGGCCUCUUGGUUGUAAAGCACUUUAAGCGAGGAGGAGGCUACUUAGAUUAAUACUCUAGGAUAGCGGACGUUACUCGCAGAAUAAGCACCGGCUAACUCUGUGCCAGCAGCCGCCGUAAAAC